ACGCUCGACCCUACUGGAGGCAGCAGUAGGGAAUCUUCCACAAUGGGCGCAAGCCUGAUGGAGCAACACCGCGUGAGUGAAGAAGGGUUUCGGCUCGUAAAGCUCUGUUGUUGGAGAAGAACGUGCGUGAGAGUAACUGUUCACGCAGUGACGGUAUCCAACCAGAAAGUCACGGCUAACUACGUGCCAACAGCCGCGGUAAUCUGAGCGGGCUGGCAAGGC
rnacentral:rRNA from 1 species